ACUCAAAUGAAUAGACGGGGGCCCGCACAAGCGGUGGAGUAUGUGGCUUAAUUCGAUGCAACGCGAAGAACCUUACCUGGCCUUGACAUGCUUUAGACAGACGCUGAAAGGCGUUCUCCCUUCGGGGCUGAAGCACAGGUGCUGCAUGGCUGUCGUCAGCUCGUGUCGUGAGAUGUUGCGUUAAGUCGCGCAACGAGCGCAACCCCUGUCCUUAGUUGCCAUCAUUAAGUUGGGCACUCUAAGGAGACAAACUCUCUCUGAGAGUGGGAAGGUGGGGAUGACGUCAAGUCAGGAUGGCCCUUACGGCCAGGGCUGCACACGUACUACAAUGCUCGAUACAGAGGGACGCUACACCGCGAGGUGAUGCAAAUCUCAAAAAUCGAGCCCAGUUCAGAUUGUAGUCUGCAACUCGACUACAUGAAGUUGGAAUCGCUAGUAAUGGCGCAUCAGCUACGGCGCCGUGAAUACGUUCCCGGGCCUUGCACACACCGCCCGU
rnacentral:rRNA from 1 species